GAUGAAGAACGUAGCGAAAUGCGAUAAGUAGUGUGAAUUGCAGAAUUCAGUGAAUCAUCGAAUCUUUGAACGCACAUUGCGCCCUUUGGUAUUCCUUAGGGCAUGCCUGUUCGAGCGUCAUUUCACCACUCAAGCCUCGCUUGGUAUUGGGCAACGCGGUCCGCCGCGUGCCUCAAAUCGACCGGCUGGGUCUUCUGUCCCCUAAGCGUUGUGGAAACUAUUCGCUAAAGGGUGUUCGGGAGGCUACGCCGUAAAACAACCCCAUUUCUAAGGUUGACCUCGGAUCAGGUAGGGAUACCCGCUGAACUUAAGCAUAUCAAUAAGCGGAGGA
rnacentral:misc_RNA from 1 species